UACGAAAGCCCCAAGCGUUAUCCGGAAUCACUGGGCGUAAAGGGUGCGUAGGCGGCUGUAUUAGUCGUGUGUGAAAGACCGAGGCUUAACUUCGGGACCGCAUGCGAAACGGUACAGCUAGAGUGCGAGAGAGGCAUAUGGAACUCUCGGUGUAGGGGUGAAAUCCGUUGAUAUCGAGGGGAACACCAAAAGCGAAGGCAAUAUGCUGGCUCGACACUGACGCUGAGGCACGAAACCUUGGGUAGCGAAUGGG
rnacentral:misc_RNA from 1 species